rnacentral:sRNA from 1 species
CCAAAGAGUCUGAAACACUCUCCUGAAGACCCAGAAAAGUAUUCUUGCUUUGCUUUAUUUGUGAAAUUUGGCAAAGAGGUGGCAGUUAAAAUGAAGCAGUACAAAGAUGAACUUUUGGCCUCUUGUUUGACCUUUCUUCUGUCCUUGCCACACAACAUCAUUGAACGCGAUGUUAGAGCCUACGUUCCUGCGCUGCAGAUGGCUUUCAAACUGGGCCUGAGCUAUACUCCCUUGGCAGAAGUAGGCCUGAAUGCUCUAGAAGAAUGGUCAAUUUAUAUUGACAGACAUGUAAUGCAGCCUUAUUACAAAGACAUUCUCCCCUGCCUGGAUGGAUACCUGAAGACUUCAGCCUUGUCAGGUAAGAUUUAGAAGAAUUGUGAUGUGUAUUGUAAUUAAAAUGGAAAUGGAGUAACUAUAAUAGGUAGGACUGUAUUUUUGUAACUUCUGAAAUUUAAACCCAGUGUGUUCAAAAUAUGUUUGAUUGCUAUUUUUGUAAUUUCCCUAAUUUAUCUGACUCUAAUUGUGAUAAAGAAAUAUAGUUGAGGUAUUAAAAGUAUCUUUCAUUUACUCAUAGCUUACUAAGAUUUAUAAAAUCUUCAAAGACAAGUACUGUCUUAAAUACCUUGAAAUUCUUAUGGCUCCUAAUACACUGCUUUGCAAAAAAAACUUGUUGAAUAAAUCAGUCAGGAAUUAAAAACUUCAGAAAAUUCAAAAGU